rnacentral:rRNA from 1 species
CAUGCAAGUCGAGGGGAAACGACAUCGAAAGCUUGCUUUUGAUGGGCGUCGACCGGCGCACGGGUGAGUAACGCGUAUCCAACCUGCCCACCACUUGGGGAUAACCUUGCGAAAGUAAGACUAAUACCCAAUGACGUCUCUAGAAGACAUCUGAAAGAGAUUAAAGAUUUAUCGGUGAUGGAUGGGGAUGCGUCUGAUUAGCUUGUUGGCGGGGUAACGGCCCACCAAGGCGACGAUCAGUAGGGGUUCUGAGAGGAAGGUCCCCCACAUUGGAACUGAGACACGGUCCAAACUCCUACGGGAGGCAGCAGUGAGGAAUAUUGGUCAAUGGACGAGAGUCUGAACCAGCCAAGUAGCGUGCAGGAAGACGGCCCUAUGGGUUGUAAACUGCUUUUAUAAGGGAAUAAAGUGAGAGUCGUGACUCUUUUUGCAUGUACCUUAUGAAUAAGGACCGGCUAAUUCCGUGCCAGCAGCCGCGGUAAUACGGAAGGUCCGGGCGUUAUCCGGAUUUAUUGGGUUUAAAGGGAGCGUAGGCCGGAGAUUAAGCGUGUUGUGAAAUGUAGAUGCUCAACAUCUGAACUGCAGCGCGAACUGGUUUCCUUGAGUACGCACAAAGUGGGCGGAAUUCGUGGUGUAGCGGUGAAAUGCUUAGAUAUCACGAAGAACUCCGAUUGCGAAGGCAGCUCACUGGAGCGCAACUGACGCUGAAGCUCGAAAGUGCGGGUAUCGAACAGGAUUAGAUACCCUGGUAGUCCGCACGGUAAACGAUGGAUGCCUGCUGUUGGUCUGAAUAGGUCAGCGGCCAAGCGAAAGCAUUAAGCAUCCCACCUGGGGAGUACGCCGGCAACGGUGAAACUCAAAGGAAUUGACGGGGGCCCGCACAAGCGGAGGAACAUGUGGUUUAAUUCG